CCGGUUCUGACGAUCAAAUCGAGGUUGGCGCACGCGCACACCUCUCAUUUUCUUCUAAGAAUUUUGGAGAUUAUGGUCCAGGUGCCUCAGUGUUAAGGGCCUAAAGACGUUGGGAAAAACCCAUCAGAAUGCACACAUAUCCCAUGGUUGCAGCAGAUGGACGACUUCUUCCAGAAAGUGGGGAUGGAGCAGUGGGCUGCCACUCAGGACCCGCAGCAGUUACAUAGGGUGGUGACAACCUGAGGCACGAGAGAGGUGCUUGAAAUGAGAUGUAGGUAUCCAUAAAAAUGUACUGUGGUAUAUUCUGUGGCGUUAUGCAGGCUGUUCCAGCGAGGCUGAGCCUGCAGUGGCUCUGUUCUUUCCUGUAGUGUCUGCUAGAGCACGGUGAGGCUGUUUGAGGCCCUGCUGUGACCCAUCAUGUGCAGGGUUAUAGGUAAACCUCAGACAUUUUCAUCUGGCAUUGCAAGGCAGAUGACACAUUGUCACCUUGAGAUUGAGUUGUAUUCUUUAUUUACAGGGAUGGAGAAACUCCCCCACUGUUAAGAGGGUUUUUAAUACUGUUGAGUACAAAUGUACAGUUAACACGAUGAACUGUGCAGCAGAGCACAAAACAAAUGGUUUUGUGCAUCGCCUCAGCUGUCAUUAAUCCUUGGUAAGAUGAGCAGAGGCCCAGAAGAUGGAUUUGGCCUCAGGUUGUCUUACAACGUGCGGGAUAUCAACAUGGUGCAUUGUUAGAAGAACAACGGACGGAGUUCUCUGUGGGUGACUCUUCGCACGAUGAGGAACGAAGUUCCAACAGCAACAGGAACCGUGAAGGGACUUCUGCUGCACAUCCAUCAGGGUCACAUGCGUUGCUGUUUGAAAUUAAUUGCCCCUGGUGGGAUGAAUAAAGUUGUCUAAAUCUAA